rnacentral:rRNA from 1 species
AACGAACGCUGGCGGCAUGCCUAACACAUGCAAGUCGAACGAAGCCUUCGGGCUUAGUGGCGACCGGGUGCGUAACGCGUGGGAAUCUGCCCCUUGCUUCGGAAUAACAGUUAGAAAUGACUGCUAAUACCGGAUGAAGUCUUCGGACCAAAGAUUUAUCGGCAAGGGAUGAGCCCGCGUAGGAUUAGGUAGUUGGUGGGGUAAAGGCCUACCAAGCCGACGAUCCUUAGCUGGUCUGAGAGGAUGAUCAGCCACACUGGGACUGAGACACGGCCCAGACUCCUACGGGAGGCAGCAGUGGGUAAUAUUGGACAAUGGACGCAAGGCUGAUCCAGCAAUGCCGCGUGAGUGAUGAAGUCCGUAGGGUUGUAAAGCUCUUUUACCAGGGAUGAUAAUGACAGUACCUGGAGAAUAAGCUCCGGCUAACUCCGUG